CUCCCGUAUCUAAUAGAUGACACAAAGUUAUCAGUUUAGUUGGCAAGAGCAAAAGUCCACAUCAAUUGUGAGGAUAUGAUGAUUGGCAUACUUACCCCCUGAUGAUGCCUCACUUCUUCAGAAUUUGAGGCUGUUCUUGAUAUGUCAGGUAGGUCCAGCUAUCGAGUCAAUAACUAUAUUUGGUAGUGUGUGAUGAUACAUUAAUAAUCACACUUGAAUAUGUUACCUAAACCUGUUUUGCUUUUGUAUUUCUUCCAUGUUCAUCCUUCCUUUGCCUCCUCAAAUUCUUCUUUGGCCUUAGUCCUUAUAUUUCUGUCCUCUGCAGGUUUUGUGCUGUUUGCCUCUCGGGUAGGUCCCUGCAUGAAUCUUACCUUCGGCAGUGAGCUGAGAAAAUUAGCCCCACCUUUUUUUGCUGCCCUACUAUUCGAUGAAAUGCUUGUGCCCUGAUGGAUUCCGUUCUUUUUUUGUUGGUGUUCCUUCUCAUCCUGCCUGCUUUGCAAGUCUUUGUUUCACCUAUUGUCUCGGUUCAAUUGAUUGUCCAUGCCUUGGCACGUUCUGUGUAUGAUGUAAAUUCGGAACAAUGGAUUUGGUUUUCCGAACCAUAAAACUUAUGUAGCUUGAAUUAGCAGAUUGCACCAUGAAAAGACAUACUUUCCUUUAAAAAAUAAUGUGUAUCAGUACCUCUUUAGACCCUGCUGCUUGCGAUCUGAACCAGUAUAUACUUUUCUACAGUUUAGAUGUUAUAUCAGUUUGCAGAUGAAUUCGUGGCUAAUACCAGCAUUGUGAAUUUUUCAUGUUUGUCUUCCUUUAAACCACCAUAAAACUUAUCUAGCUUGAAUUAGCAGAUUGCACCAUGAAAAGACAUAUUGUCCUUUAAAAAUAAUGUGUAUUAGUACCUCUUUAGACCCUGCUGCUUGCGAUCUGAACCAGUAUAUACUUUUCUACAGUUUAGAUGUUAUAUCAGUUUGCAGAUGAAUUCGUGGCUAAUACCAGCAUUGUGAAUUUUUCAUGUUUGUCUUCCUUUAAACCUGAUGCAUGCAUGUGCAUGAUGCUCGUUGAUGACUAUUCCAUUUGUUUUACUGACCAAUUUUUGAGAGGGAGGGUGGAGGGAGUUGGCUCUUGUGUUUGUUGAUUGCUUUGCAGAUUUAUUGGUGUUUGGUUCAGAUAGAACAGCUCCAUUUGCAUUAGCAACUGUUUGUGGAGUCCCUCGCUGCUACAGGUAUGUUUGCUCUAUAGAAUCUAUAAUAUGCAUUAUGUGCUACUGCUUUUUUUAAUUAAACCAUGAAAAAUUUAUGAUAUAGAAGAGAUUAUAAGGGGCGUCUCACGAGCACAUGAUAGCGAGAGAAUUACUCUCUGACAAUGCCUUAAUUACAGAAUGGGGUGAAGAAUGCAAGGAAGUUGCCCAUUGUCUCUCGUCACCCGACCAAGGAUAGGUGAGCGGCCAUGGAUUUUUUUUCACUCCUCCGCUCAGUGCUUGCCUCAAUCAUGUUAAUCCAUAGCGAUUUACUUUGUUCGUUCCAGGUUUGACUGACAGAGGAAGUCAAUUGAGGAGUAUGUUGACACCAGAGUCCAAGACCAUGGGUGAAGCAUUUUAAUCAAUCUGUUGUUUUGGUAAGUUUCUUGCGUUCUUAGGAUUUAAAAUAACUGCAAGGAUUGUAGAGUUCUAAUGGUUGUGUUGGGUGUUUGCGGUGGCGAGGCUGAGCAGAUCAAACUGUACGCAUGGACCGUGACUAAUGGUGUGCCAGUGUGGUGGUGCCUGCCACACACUCACACAGGUUCUUGGUACUCUCUGUAACCUGUAGAUGAUGGGCGGCGAAUCCGGCAACCACAGAUCCAUUCUCCUGCAUAAUUUUCGUUUUUUCAUUUGAUUUGGUACAAGGCCUACUCAGAAUGGGUUCCCUGAUCUCAAAAUUGUCAGUUUUCUUGCCUUUAGUUUAUAGGUACCUUAACAAAUACAUGUAUUACCAUAUUGGCAGUCAGCACCAUGCGUCAUUCAUUCUUCAUGAUCUCAUAUUUGAGGUUAGCAGUUCGAAGUAAUGUAAGAGCUUGCAUGUUUAUAGUUCUAACUAACUUUUAGUUUAGCGUAGGAUAAGUCUUCCAUGAAUUCUUAGUUAGUUGUUUAUUUUUGCUGGCUGUGCAUGACACUGCAAUUUUUUCAUAAUUUCUUUAAAAGUUAACUAUUUUCUUAUCUACAAUUAACUGGUUGUUCCUCCUAGCCGUUAGCAAGUCUGUCGUCCCUGACCACCCUGUCAGCCAUCUAUACAACUGUGGUUCAUGCCUACGUGCUAUCCGCUCCUAAAUUCUCACACCAUGUCAGGUGUUUAGAAGUGAUGAUCAUUGUGGUCUUUAGUUGUCAUGGCUGUAAUCCUAGCGCAUGGGCUUUUGCGGGCUGGUCCAACCGGAGUUGGUUGAUGGCAGGGGCUCCGCUCCAGCUACCGUAUGGCUGAAGAAGGGAUGCAAAUGGCAAGAAUUUUGAGAUGCAUAAACUCCCAUCUUUGAAUCAGAAACAGAAAAUUGUUAGUUUUCUCUUUUCUUAGUUAUGCUACCCUGCUCCACGUAGGUUUUACAGUGAAAAGCUGAAAAAGUUGUGACGGCGAUGAAAGGACUGAAAGAUUUGCUCGAAGCAAAGACAUCUAGCCGAGAUACAUAUGGCAAGAAUCUUCAGAGAUUGACUUCUUUUCAGCUGCUAUUGAGAUAUAUACUUGCUCAUAGGUCACAACUCAAGUUACUAACUUACCUGCACAUACAGUAGUGAUAAGUCGACAUAAUUUUUCUGAGAACCUAUUUUUUUAAUAUGACAGCAUUCUACCUGCCCUGUGUUCUCUUUUAUGAUAUUUUUUGCUCUUCAUGCAUUUUGUAGCAACGAAGAGGAGGGAUCUUAUGUAUAAUAUGCGACAUCCAUGGUGCUGAAGGUGUGCUAUUAAGUCUCAGUUACUCCUGCAAAAUAGCAUCUUAAUAAACAAAGGAUAUGCACCGCCAAGCAGUUUGUUGUGUAUUUUUUUCCCUUCCAACCUUAUUGAUAUGCCUGUUGCUCAAGGUGUUUUUACUUGUUUACCUGAUUAACAAAUGAAUAUAAAUUUAAAACACAGGUUAAUAAAUUUAGCGCAGUCCUUGCUGAAAUCCGUAUUUUUAUAUGUUGACUUUCCUUUGAAUAAUAUAAGUUGGUCUUGUUGCUGCAAAUGAUUGGAUACACUAAAUUCUUUCUCAUGCAUGCAAGUUGAUUUGGUUAUCCUGUAAUACAUUAUUACGUUUAGUUAAAAAUUUAUGUUUUGUAAUUCAGAUAGGAAACAAUGGUUUGUGAUAGUGCCCUUGCUUGUGACAGAGCAUCUUUUUUUAGUCAUUCAUAGAUGUGUGGGAGGGCUGGCCGUCCACCAUUUGAUGAUAGUAGAACAGUUGUAAUUAUGACAAGACGAGAGGCAGUAAUUUUUCUGUGUUUUCCUCCCGUUAAUUCUGAAAUACCUUUGACAGGAAAAUGUUUCCUGUUUUUGGUCUAACCCGUCGUAAGUUUGUCUCGUGGGUCCAUCUAUAUGAGAACCUUCUCAGUGGGUGUCAAAUGGUUAGUCUCGGUAUGUUCUUUUAAGUUUAGUUGAAAAGUUCUUACGUGAUAUUUUAACUGAAACUUAACUAUGUCAUGGCUGGUACUUCAUUUGAGACUCUUGGCUGAGUAUAGAUACUAUGACCAGACCUUCUGUCUUGAUUCUUAAUACCUUCUUCGUUUUAGUCUCCAUCUACAUGUGCAAUUCAUUAUUUUCCUAGAGAUGUCUAUAUAACCGUAUCAUGCAUUAUUUUUCUGCUAUGUAAAUAACACUUACCUUGGCUUUGGCGGUGGUGGUGCAGGAUUCGUCGCACGCCAAACAGAGCACCCGAGGAGAUGCUCUGAAGAGAGGAAAUGAUAUGUUUUUUUUUUGUUUUAAGAGAAGAUAGGAGUCGAUAUGUUGUCCCCUGACUUCUAUACUGAUCCACAACACUUCACAAAAGAGUAUAUAUCAAGAUAUGUAGUCCCCUGACUUCUAUACUAUUACUGAUCCACAACACUUCACAAAAGAGUAUAUAUCAACAUCGUAUGCUACAAAUAAAAAGCAAAGUAAUCUCUUUUAGUUCUUGGUUCAAAUUCGUCUUCGCACCAAAUGGCGCGACAGGUCAUCUAGUCGAACAACAUGGCUAGGCAACCUGCCAUUCUA
rnacentral:lncRNA from 1 species